rnacentral:rRNA from 1 species
UACGUAGGUGGCAAGCGUUGUCCGGAUUUAUUGGGUUUAAAGGGUGCGUAGGCGGUCCUUUAAGUCAGUUGUGAAAUCCAGCAGCUUAACUGUCGAGGUGCAAUUGAUACUGGUGGACUUGAGUACUGAUGAGGUAGGCGGAAUGGACGGUGUAGCGGUGAAAUGCGCAGAUAUCAGGGGGAACACCGAUGGCGAAGGCAGGUCUCUGGGCAGUAACUGACGCUGAGGAGCGAAAGCAUGGGGAGCGAACAGG